GACGUAGGGGGCUAGCGUUGUUCGGAAUUACUGGGCGUAAAGAGCGCGUAGGCGGUCUAUUAAGUUGGAAGUGAAAGCCCGGGGCUUAACCUCGGAAUUGCUUUCAAAACUGAUAGACUAGAGUUCGGUAGGGGGUGAUGGAAUUCCUAGUGUAGAGGUGAAAUUCUUAGAUAUUAGGAGGAACACCGGUGGCGAAAGCGAUCACCUGGCCCGAUACUGACGCUGAGGUGCGAAAGCGUGGGGAGCAAACAGG
rnacentral:rRNA from 1 species